AAAAUUCUCUUCAGAAGUUCUGUGCUCUAUCUAUUUCUUAGCUUUUUCUUAUCCGAUAUCAAAGCCUUACAAUGACAGAUGAUCAACUACUCUUCCAAACACAAAUCCAAAUCCACCUCUGAACACAAAUCUAAACACAAACCCAAAUCUAAAUCCACCUGAAAACUCUCCUAAUCCUACUCAGCUAGCUAGUCCAUAUACAUCGGGACAAAUGAUGGAACAGGGGCCAUGUUGGUGACUUAUAGCUUGGAAGCAAACAAUUACUAUUCAUGGACCAGAUCGAUGAGAAUGGCUCUUAGAAUCAAGAACAAACUGGGGUUCAUUGAUGGCACUCUUUGUAAACCUGCAGACCCGAAUGAUCCUUUAAUGAAACACUGGUUGAGAUGCAACGACAUAGCAAUCACUUGGAUGCAAAAUACCAUGGCUGUUGACUUCAAAUGUAGCACGGUGUAAGCAGAGAUUGCUCAUCAGCUAUUGCUGGAACUUAAGUAGAGGUUUGCUCAACAAAAUGCACCCGAAUCUAUGAAAUCAAGCAAGAUAUAACAACAUUAGUACAAAACCAAGAUACUGGAAGUGUUUAUUUUUCAAAAUUCAAAACUAUGUUGGAUGAACUACUGAAUUAUGAUUCCAUCUCUAAUUGUUCAUGUGGAGGUUUGAAAAUAGUAGUUCAAAACCAACAAUGUGAUUGGGUAAUAAGAUGGAUUAAAUGAAUCUUACAAAAUUAUUAAGGCUCAGAUUCUUUUGAUCGAAUCAGGUAUCCUUCAGGCAAUGAAUUAGAUGGGAAAGCCAGACCACCGUCAUCUGUUGCAAAUCAAGUUCUAUAAUCCUAGUUUCUGAUCAAGAGCAAGUGAGAGACAAAGCUCCGAUUUCAUUAAUUCAAGAACAAUAUGCCAUAGUUUUACCAUCCACCAACAGCUGUCACAACCCCCUUCGGCUAACAAUGUGUAAUCCUUUUUUACCAUCCUCUUCUAAUGUUGAAAUCACGAAGAUAUCUAGUAUAUCUCUAUGCCUCUUUGCUUAUGGAACCAAAUCUACUGAUCUUAAUGCCAUUUCUUGGAUCUUGG
rnacentral:lncRNA from 1 species